rnacentral:rRNA from 1 species
UGCCAGCAGCCGCGGUAAUACGAAGGGCCCGAGCGUUAAUCAGAAUCACUGGGCUUAAAGCGUGCGCAGGCGGAAACGUCAGUGUCUUGUGAAAUCCCACGGCUCAACCGUGGAAUUGCAGGGCAUACUGCGUUUCUUGAGGUCGGUAGAGGUCGCCGGAACUCUAGGUGUAGCGGUGAAAUGCGUAGAUAUCUAGAGGAACGCCGAAGGUGAAGACAGGCGACUGGGCCGAUUCUGACGCUCAGGCACGAAAGCGUGGGGAGCAAACAGGAUUAGAUACCCUGGUAGUCCACGCCGUAAACGUUGUGCACUAGAUCCUGGAGGUACUGACACCGUCGGGGUCGAAGAUAACUUGCUAAGUGCACCGCCUGGGGAGUACGGUCGCAAGGCUAAAACUCAAAGGAAUUGACGGGGGCUCACACAAGCGGUGGAGCAUGUGGCUUAAUUCGAGGCAACGCGAAGAACCUUACCUGGGUUUGACAUGCUUGGAUUAGCCUGUCGAAAGACAGGUGACGCUAAUUCUAGUGGAACUUGCACGGGUGCUGCAUGGCUGUCGUCAGCUCGUGCUGUGAAGUGUCGGGUUAAGUCCCUUAACGAGCGAAACCCCUGCCGCUAGUUGCCAUCAGGUCAAGCUGAGCACUCUAGCGGGACUGCCGGUGUCAAACCGGAGGAAGGUGGGGAUGACGUCAAGUCCUCAUGGCCUUUAUGCCCAGGGAUGCACACGUGCUACAAUGGUAGGUACAACGCGACGCGAUGCCGCGAGGCGGAGCAAAUCGCAAAAAACCUGCCCCAGUUCGGAUCGCAGUCUGCAACUCGACUGCG